GGGAAAUUUAUAUAAUUUGAAAAUUUAUAAGGGCAAAUUUCAGGCAAACAAUAGUAGAAUUUUUAUGCCAGCACCGGAGUUAUGGCUACUAACGAUGUGAUAUCCUCGGAAAUUUUGUCUUUAUUGGGUGAAUCACAAACACACAACCACUUCAUUCAUAACAAUUUAUUUAAUUCAUCAUUUUAAAUAUACUACAAGGACACAUUAUAAUGAUAGUAUAUAGUAAAAUCUGAACCCACGUGACAAUGAUUCACAAAACAUCACAUGAGUUGUGUACUAGUAAGAAUACAAUAUGUAUUUGUUUUAGCGUAAAACUAUAAUACUUUAAGGUAAGAUCGUUUAUAGAUACUCAUAAAACUUCUACAUCUUUUGAAAAGUAAAUUAAAGAAUUUCAUCAUCGUCACCUAUUAUUCAUUUUACUAGUAAACAUGGUAAAGUGUAAGACAUUUUUUAAAAUAUUAUAUAUGCUUAACAAAAAGUUACUUGGUAUAAGUUAAGCUGUGUCAAUGAAAAUUAGCGAAACGCGGAUUUCAGUAUCUUGAUAUAUAUUUCUCGUGUAUUUGAACCAAUGCGUAAAAGCACAUAACACUAUAUAUUCGUAUCUAAAAAUAUAAAGUCAAGGUAUAUCAAUUAUAUGCAUGUACAUGAUGUACAUUUAAUCCUUCCUGGUAUAAUGUAGGCGUAUAUAUAUAUAUGUUAAAAGGAUGUAAACAUACUUACUACAGUUUAAGUUAUAUUAUAUUAUAAGCUAUCUCUCUUUCUGUAUCAGCGAUUUUUUUUUAUAUUACUAAGCAUACAAAUAUUUAGAUGUAUAAUUGCCAAUGAGAUACUUUAUGGUGGCGGAUCCAGAAAUUUUCAUAAGGGAAGCCCACUAGCUGACUGCUUAAGAAGGAGCUAAAUUUAGUCAUGCUUCAGUGAUGCCCUAUUUAAUUAAUCUUAAAUUUCCACAAAAAAUAUCCACCAAAGGGGGGGAUCUAAUUUCAAAUACAAUUAAAUAGGAAUUUGCAUCUGUCAAGAUACCAAGUGAAAAUCUUAAGGUUAAAGUAUGCAUAUAAAAAUGUAAUUGCAAAUCAACAAGAUAACAAAUUAUAUCUGUAAGCUGACGUACUUAUCGUGAGAACUACCAGUUCAAACUUUAUAUCUUGCAAUUCGAAACACGCGAUUUUCUUUUAAGUAAUACAUUUAACCCGAAUAUUCUAAUCAUGAUAAUCCGCUGCUCGACGAUGGUUACACCUCGACUACUCCUCGUGAUGAGACAUACAUUUUUGUAGGAACUGAAUUAUUCGUGUAACGAUAAUGUUGUAAUUCUUGUAAUACAUAAUCUCUACUUAAUAUUACUGACAAUUGAACAAAGAUUGCUACGGUUUAAAAACUCUUUUUUUUAAGAAACUUGUUGACUAUAUCUGUGUCUUGUGAUAUACAUUAUUGUACGGGGUAUUAUCAGAAUUUGCCAUCAGUUUCUGCUAUUCUGGGUUUUCCACGGCAUAUCACUGUUAUUAUCUCAACGGUCCCAUCUACUCUUGUUUUAAUGAUUGUGUUAAUAUUUAAAUGCUAAAGAAUGAUUGGUACAGAAUAGAGAAGAAUAAAUGGGCUUGACAGAGAAAUGAAUAUGGAAUCAUGGACAUGGGGUGCUAAAAUAUGAAAAUAAUGAAUAAUGAAAAUAAUACUAAACGAAUAGAAGAAACAAAAUGAAUUAAAUUAGAUGAAAAAAAUCAUAAAAAUAAAGACAAACCCUCUCACCAAUCCAGACUAACACGAUAAUGCACAUUGUAUAACCCAAAAUGACUAUAGGAAGCUAAAACAACCCUAUAUUCUUCCGCCAACUGCAUAGUUUAUUACUAUAAAAAUAAUUUCAGCUUCUCCUCUUUUCGUGUUCUAAAACUUGUUUUAUUCCCCAAUUCUUCUUAUUUUUCUUAAAAAAUAUAUAAUAUUGCUUGGUUAUUAAUUUUAACAUUAUAUGGUAUCUUUUUCAGAAAAUCACCGUUAAAGAGCUAUGGGUAAAGGUGAAGGAGGCGGGGCUAAAGGUUGUCUGUCAGCUAUCAUAUGGUUUCUUCUUAUAUGGUUUGUGGCGUGGCCAUUAGCAUUUUUACUAGCAUGGUUUUACAUAUUCCUGUUGCCAUUUGGAGCAUGCAUAGACCCUAUCAGAUCAAUUAAUGAACAAUUAGUGCGCAUAUUGCAGCUUCCAUUGACAUGCGCACAGAAUAUGAUAGAUAUGAAACCUAUUUGUUGAUAUUUUUCAAUGGAAUAUGCUUAAAGUGACGAAGAUUUCAUGUUUGUUUUGUUAUAUGUAAAUAUUUGUUCUUAUAUUUAUAUAAAUAUUUGUUAUUCGCAUUAUUUAUGUAUUGCAUGUGUUAUUAUAUUUUUAUUAAUUAUCAUCUUAAUAAAUUAUAUUUAUUUUAUUUUCGGUGUUUUAACGCCAAUUUUUUAGUUCCGCUGUUGGGCUAUUUUCGUCGCAGCCAUUUUUUUGCGGAGGAAGCCGGAGUGCCCGGAGAAAACACCGACCUUCGAUAGGAAAACUGACAACCCUAGUCAAUUAAGAUUGGAGUCGCAUGCACUUGCACGAGCGGUGUUAGCUCACAACCUCAGUAUUGACUGCCUUGUGAUUACAGUAGUAACUACUUAGACCACUCGACCACCGAGACCCCCUAAAUAAAUAAAAAGUAUGUUUGCUCUUCAUUCUAAUAAGCAAUCAAUUUUGAUCAUUACGGAUGCACAUGUUUUAUUUACACUUUAAUAUAUAUAUAAUGAGAUGUGGUAUUAUUAUCAAUGAGACAGCUAUCCACCAGAGUAAAGUGAAUGUAAUAUUAUCGGCAACAGUACAGCCUUCAUCAAAGAGAAAAUCCAUACCGUAUAGACAUUUAUAAAUGCC
rnacentral:lncRNA from 1 species